AUCAGUAUGUAUACCGUCGUCGUCAGGUAACUUUCAAAAAGAAAAAAGUUAGCAACAACAAAUUAUAAUUUUAAACGUCAGAUCAAGGUGCAGCUAAUAAAAAGGUGAAGAUGGGUUACAAUUAAAAUUUAUAAUACGAAUUUAAAUCUGAAAUAUUUGGUUUUUUGAAGGCGGACUUGAAAGUAAAAAUUUAAAAGAUAAAUCUUUUGAAUGUGGCUCUGAAGCGUGC
rnacentral:rRNA from 1 species